CUCAGGUCAUCUCAGAAUGACUCCCAUCGAACGGUCAUGGUUCCUCUGAUGAAAUCCCAGCAAAUCUCGUCCAUUGAUUUUGCCGUGCUGUGGAAAAUACAAGUAAAGCUUGCUUCUCUUCUUCAUUUUGCUGCUCUUCAAUCGAUCCCUCGAAGUGCCCCCGCCGUCGUGCCGCCACUGCCGUGCAUCUCCCUCUCCUUGCUCAUCUCCGGCGUGUUCUUCUUUGUCGGUGCCAUCGGGAUCAUCUUCGCCAUUGUCGUGCUCCUUCGCCCCCCGAGGACACGCUUAGGAACUCCGGUCGAGAUCUAGCGUUGGUGGCGGUGUUGGGUUGGAGGAUCGGCCGAAGCCGCUGGGCUUCGUCAGGGUGCAGACGGGGUUUGGAUCCGCUGAUCGUCGGGCUGCGCUUCAGAGCACUUGGUUCCCUUCCGAUCCGGAGGCUCUAGCUCGGUAUAUGGUGAUUUUUGUUGCGUACAGAUGUAAGCUAGAAUUUUUGGUGAAGAACCUUUCUUUAAGCGCUGGGUUUCUUUAUUAUUAGCAACUAUUAAACUAAUGCUUAGAGUGUGGGGCUAAAACACAAUGGUCACUACUCGAUCACCAGGCAACAAGUGAGGAUGCCAUUAUUCCAACUGGUACUCUUUUGACUCCUUUGUCUCUGUUUAACAGCCUUUCUUUGGCAUUGGUAUUAUUAUCUACUAAACUACUACAAGUACUGGAUUUGUAGAGGUUUUUUUUUAUUUA